rnacentral:lncRNA from 12 species
AUGCGUCUUCUGCUCCGGCCCUCACGCUGCCCAGGACCUCAGGAUCUGGGUCGGCCGCCCUCUAGCCCCUGGGUUCAAGGGCAAAGCUUGGGAAGCAAUGCCAGGAAUGGGCACAGCGCAGGAUGCUCCGUCCCGAAUCGGGGACAGGGGGAGGGGAGGAUGCGCACGGCAACUGCUGGGUCCCUGACAAGUAAACAGCUUGCUCUGAACAGGCGCGUCCACGUCCAGAGCCCGGCUGAGGGCCCUGCUCAUCCCAUCAAGGGCGGCAGCGGGACACCCUGGAUCCCCGCCCCCCCGGAGGCACAAAAGGGAUGCAUGGAGAGCAGGAGAGCAGGAGAGCACGAACCAGCCCACACCCGAGCAUCACGACGCGAGCGCGACCCCCUGACUCGGCCUCCCCAGCCGGGUCCGGUCCGCCCCGACACGCGCGCGCCUCCCCCAGCCCCCACGUCCCUGGACCCCGACCGCCCCGGGCGGACAAAGCCCUGCGCCGGGCGGGGCGGGGCGUGCGCAGGGGGGCACUGGGACCCCGCAGACGCCCGCACAGGUGGGCUCCGUACCGGGUCGGUGCCGGGGGCGGGGCCCGAGCUCCCUGGAGACGGUUGCCCAGGGGACGCGGCGGGCGGGUCCCGGCGGCCUCCCCGGGAGGGCGCCCCUUGCAGCGCUCGCCAGACGCGGAGACGCACCCGGCCAGGGCGCGCCGCUUGUGCGCACCCGGAGACGCCCGCGAGCCGGCCCCCGAGGUCCCCGAAGCCCCGGGUCCCGGGGCUCUCUUCCCCACCUCCCCAGACGCAGCCAGAGGCGAGCGCUUACCGGUCCCGGCGCGCUUGGCAGGGGCUGGGCGGCUCGGCCCGGCGGCCGCUAGGAGCUGUAGGGCGCUGGGCGCGAGUGAGCCUCGAGGGAGGGAGGCGGGGCGCCCGCGCUGGGGGCGCCCCGCCUGCUGACAGCCCGCACACUCCACUUCCCACUUUGUUUCCUUUUUACUUGCAACAGGAAAAACAACAGGUCCUCCUGCCGCCCGCCAGCCCCCCACCCCCCACCCCGUCCUCUCCACCCCCCCAAAUCCGCACCCCGUCUGCGGCUGGAGGAGCAGCAUCCCAGGUGUCUGGAAGCUGCAUCUUGCCCUUCUUCAAAACAAGUUUUCUUUUUAUACAAAGAAAAACAACCAAAUAAAGGUCCUAAAGCCCAUAAAACCCCCACGCUUUCCACGUUCACACACCAAGAAUUUCCACAGUGGCCAGAGAAAGGUUGGAGGGCGGGAGAGGGAGGCGGUGGCUGCAGUUCUAGGCACCCGGGCAGUGCUCCCAGAGCCAAGAGUGGGGUAGCUGGGCUGGAGGGAGGGUAACGGAGGCCCAAGGUGCAAAGUCCCAUGGGCUCAGCCCUGGAGCAAAGCCAUGGCCUCUAAGCUCAGGCGAGUCAAGAACAAAGAGGGGUUGUGGGAUUAGACAGGUUCCAAUAGUAGCUUCAAACCCUUCUAGGGUGUGAUGGCCAAAGAGUCAGUUGCUUAGACAAUGACUUAAGGACCCUCCCCAAUCGGGUCUGGGAAGUAAAACACCUGUUGUUCCCCUUGGAGAUAUGAGGAACCUGAGGUUUCAGAAGGGCUCUUUCUACCCAAGCAAUACCCCGGCCUCGCGGGACCAGCAUGGGCCCAGCUCUGGCUGCAGCAAAGAGAGGACCAGAGACUUCCCUUUGCAGCCAGGAAAGGGGACAGCAUUAGGAAAGACCCGUUGGUUACUCAAUGCUUCCAGUGUUCUGAGAUCUAGGCUGCUGGCUCUCUAGACUCUCAACAGGACGCCGGUGGAGGAGCCACAAGGGCCCAUAUUGUCCCUUUAAGAAAGAAUGUUGGGACGCCUAGGUGGCUCAGCAGUUUGGCGCCUGCCUUUCGCCCUGCCCCAGAUGUGAUCUUGGAGUUCCAGCAUCGGGUUCCACGUCCGGCUCCCUGCAUGGAGCCUGCUUCUCCCUCUGCCUAUGUCUCUGCCUCUCUCUCUCUCUGUGUCUCUCAUGAAUAAAUAAAUAAAUAAAACCUUAAAAAAGAAAAAG